UUUGACCUCAAAUCAGGUAGGACUACCCGCUGAACUUAAGCAUAUCAAUAAGCGGAGGAAAAGAAACUAACAAGGAUUCCCCUAGUAACUGCGAGUGAAGCGGGAAAAGCUCAAAUUUAAAAUCUGGCAGUCUUUUUUUUCUUCUUUGGCUGUCCGAGUUGUAAUCUAGAGAAGUGCUUACCUGCACUG
rnacentral:rRNA from 1 species